rnacentral:lncRNA from 1 species
GAACCAGGUGGCCUACUGACCUCUGACUUGCGCCAUGUGAAGUGGCACCACAUUAUCAUAUUCCUAUUGCAGACAAUGCAAAAUCCAACAGUAGCCAGGCUUUCAUUUUCUAGAGAUGAGUACGAUGUUUGGAAUCCACUUGUUUACUCAUCCAUCCUUUCAUAUAUAUUUACCCACACACAUACACACCCAUACCCCCACAUGCACAUAUACAUACACAUAUCUCAAGCACCUUCUGGAUAUCAGACACUGUCCUAAGUGCCAGGAAUACAAUAGCAAAGAAGGCUGCUGGAGCUAUUGCCUAGGUGGGGAAA